rnacentral:rRNA from 1 species
AACGAACGCUGGCGGCGCGCUUAACACAUGCAAGUCGAACGAGAAGGCGUAGCAAUACGCUUGUAAAGUGGCGAACGGGUGAGGAAUACAUGGGUAACCUACCCUCGAGUGGGGGAUAACCCGCCGAAAGGCGGGCUAAUACCGCGUACGCUUCCGAUCUUGCGGGAUCGGAAGGAAAGCUGUCCCUUGGGGAUGGCGCUCAAGGAUGGGCUCAUGUCCUAUCAGCUUGUUGGUAGGGAACGGCCUACCAAGGCAUCGACGGGUAGCUGGUCUGAGAGGACGAUCAGCCACACUGGCACUGCGACACGGGCCAGACUCCUACGGGAGGCAGCAGUGAGGAAUAUUGCGCAAUGGGCGAAAAGCCUGACGCAGCGACGCCGCGUGGGGGGA